CGGUAAUUCCAGCUCCAAUAGCGUAUAUUAAACUUGUUGCAGUUAAAAAGCUCGUAGUUGAAUUUCUGCUGCAUCGUGGUUCUUCGCUAGGCAGAGGGGGCUUCGUUGGGGUUUAGUGGGGGCCAGUUUUCGUGUCUCGACGUUUACUUUGAGAAAAUUAGAGUGCUUCAAGCAGGCUUUUGCCUUGAAUACUUUAGCAUGGAAUAAUGGAGUAGGACUUUGGUUCUAUUUUGUUGGUUUUAGGAGCCAGAGUAAUGGUUAAUAGGAACAGUUGGGGGCAUUCGUAUUUGACUGUCAGAGGUGAAAUUCUUAGAUUUGUCAAAGACGAACUACUGCGAAAGCAUUUGCCAAGGAUGUUUUCAUUAAUCAAGAACGAAAGUUAGGGGAUCGAAGACGAUCAGAUACCGUCGUAGUCCUAACCAUAAACGAUGCCGACUAGAGAUUGGAGGUCGUCAGUU
rnacentral:rRNA from 1 species